AUUGAACGCUGGCGGCAUGCUUUACACAUGCAAGUCGAACGGUAACAGGCCGCAAGGUGCUGACGAGUGGCGAACGGGUGAGUAAUGCAUCGGAACGUGCCCAGUCGUGGGGGAUAACGCAGCGAAAGCUGUGCUAAUACCGCAUACGAUCUAUGGAUGAAAGCGGGGGACCGUAAGGCCUCGCGCGAUUGGAGCGGCCGAUGUCAGAUUAGGUAGUUGGUGGGGUAAAGGCCCACCAAGCCAACGAUCUGUAGCUGGUCUGAGAGGACGACCAGCCACACUGGGACUGAGACACGGCCCAGACUCCUACGGGAGGCAGCAGUGGGGAAUUUUGGACAAUGGGCGCAAGCCUGAUCCAGCAAUGCCGCGUGCAGGAAGAAGGCCUUCGGGUUGUAAACUGCUUUUGUACGGAACGAAAUGGUCUGGGUUAAUACCCUGGGCUAAUGACGGUACCGUAAGAAUAAGCACCGGCUAACUACGUGCCAGCAGCCGCCGUAA
rnacentral:rRNA from 1 species